CAAUAGCGUAUAUUAAAGUUGUUGCAGUUAAAAAGCUCGUAGUUGGAUUUCUGGCAGGAGCGACCGGUCACACACUCUGUGCGUGAACUUGCGUUGUCUCUGGCCAUCCUUGGGAAGAUCCUGUUUGGCAUUAAGUUGUCGGGCAGGGGAUACCCAUCGUUUACUGUGAAAAAAUUAGAGUGUUUAAAGCAGGCUUAUGCCGUUGAAUAUAUUAGCAUGGAAUAAUAAGAUAGGACUUCGGAACUAUUUUGUUGGUUUGCGUUACGAAGUAAUGAUUAAUAGGGACAGUUGGGGGUAUUCGUAUUUCGUUGUCAGAGGUGAAAUUCUUGGAUUUCCGAAAGACGAACUACUGCGAANGNAUUUACNAAGGAUGUUUNCAUUA
rnacentral:rRNA from 1 species